CCUNAACUUGCCGUCGUUUUUUAUCAGAAUUAUACAUGUAGCUCUCCGCACCCCAGUGAAAAUGCCCACCAACUCCAAAACAGACCGCCGGAGCAGGUAUCAGGAACACCAUAGAAAAGCCAAUGACACCUUGCCACGCCACACCCACACGGGACACCAGCAGUAAUUAACAUUAAGCAAUAGGCGAACACAAAGCCUGACUUAGUCAUGAUAUAUAGGGUUGGUUAAUUUCGUGCCAGCCACCGCGGUUAUACGAAAAACCCAAGACAACGGCCUUCGGCGUAAAACGUGGAGAGACGACAAGCCAAAAAUUAUGGGGAAAUUAAGACAAAGCUGUAAAACGCUACAGUAUAUAAGA
rnacentral:rRNA from 1 species